CAGCGCCGCGGGAAUACGGAGGGUGCAAGCGUUAAUCGGAAUUACUGGGCGUAAAGCGCACGCAGGCGGUCUGACAAGUCAGAUGUGAAAUCCCCGGGCUUAACCUGGGAACUGCAUUUGAAACUGCCAGGCUGGAGUCUUGUAGAGGGGGGUAGAAUUCCAGGUGUAGCGGUGAAAUGCGUAGAGAUCUGGAGGAAUACCGGUGGCGAAGGCGGCCCCCUGGACAAAGACUGACGCUCAGGUGCGAAAGCGUGGGGAGCAAACAGGAUUAGAUACCCGCGUAGUCCCUGUCUCUUAUACA
rnacentral:rRNA from 1 species